CUUCUCAGAAAUGUCCUUCUGUUUCCCAGAACUGCCUGUUGGUCUGUUGUUGAGCGGCUGGUAUCACCCCUCCCCCAUUAUCCCCCAUGUUGCUCCACCUCCUUGUGGGAGGAGCCAGGCGAGGCCACAGAUCAGACUCCUCCAUCUCAUCCCACCAACUCUGUCAGUCCACCAGGCCACUGCAGUAACAGCCACAUCUUCACGUCACGUAGCUUCAGUACCAUCUCAUCCCACCAACCCUGUCAGUCCACCAGGCCACUGCAGUAACAGCCACAUCUUCACGUCACGUAGCUUCAGUACCAUCUCAUCCCACCAACCCUGUCAGUCCACCAGGCCACUGCAGUAACAGCCACAUCUUCACGUCACGUAGCUUCAGUACCAUCUCAUCCCACCAACCCUGUCAGUCCACCAGGCCACUGCAGUAACAGCCACAUCUUCACAUCUCAAAGCUUCAGUACCAUCUCAAUGUGUUGAAGUACCAUCCAGGAUCCUGUGGCAACGUCAAUAUGAAACAGCAUUGACCCGUGAUCACCACCAACCAGGGCUCCACAGCGCUAGCCUUGGACACCCAGUGAAACAGCACUGACCCGUGAUCACCACCAACCAGGGCUCCACAGCGCUAGCCUUGGACACCCAGUGAAACAGCACUGACCCGUGAUCACCACCAACCAGGGUUCCACAGCGGUUGUCUUGGACACCCAAGUGAAACUGCACUGACCCGUGAUCACCACCAACCAGAGCUCCACAGCGGUUGUCUUGGACACCCAGUGAAACUGCACUGACCCGUGAUCACCACCAACCAGGGCUCCACAGCGGUUGCCUUGGACACCCAGGCUUCACUCGUCAAACGGACAUUUGGAAGGAUCCCAUUGAGCAAAGUAAACAACGAUAUGUUUUUUCAUGUCUUUUGCUCGUAGGGAUGACUUCCCAAGAGAGCACACCAGGCAGCAUGGAGCACAUUGAUGUGAUUGGCUGUUCAGCAGGAAGUUUCAUCUGGCCACACAGAAGGGAUGAUGAAUCUGACAGAGAAUGUUUUUUUAAAAUAAAUAUUUAAAAAAGAUGAAAAGUA